AGAUUCUCUCCCCCCCAGUGGCACAGAGAGGCACAUGGAGCAAUCACUCGGAGCUCUAGGACUGCGGCAGGCAGGGAGCCCGGCAGAGGGUCCCAUUGGGCUGCUGGCUGGGAGCUGCCUAGGCUGCAUAAAAAGCACUAGUGAAGCAAGGGCAAAUUAAACUUUCUGACAAGGACUUGUUCAUGCUGCUCUAUAUACUGUACACUGAAAUGAUUUGCUUUAAAACUGGGGAAGUCACAAGGCCAGCCAAGCUUGACGUCCCCUGCACACGCACGAGCAAACAGACACAGAUGUCUUCUUCAGAGGGUGUGAGCGCCACCAAAAACUUCAGCAUUCCGAAAGCGAGAGAAGAAAAGCCAAAAUGGGAGAAGCCUGCCUGCCUGCCUGCCGUGCUAGGAGCCCAAGCACAACAGCGUAAGAACCAAAGGAAAAUCCAACGGUGAGUUGCAACUGAACAGUCUCAUUCUACAGUGCCAAGAAAGAAAUAUAGACACUGAAAAUGUUAGAUCGCUACAACUGAAAGAAUGUUAAAUAUCUAAUUUAGUCGAAGAAGUGACGAGUAACUCAGAG